rnacentral:lncRNA from 1 species
AAAAGUGCGGGCAGAACAACUGGUCUGGUUUCCACUGGAGUACCACUCUGAGCUCUUCAAGACACCAGUUACUUUAUUGGAUCUGGUUAGUAAGAAACUUAAGAAGCUUCUACAUGGAGAAGAUGCAGAUGCCAUAUCAGGUAUGGCUGAAAAUAACAGCUACACAUCUACAGCUUAGGAUACUGGAGAUUUAAUGAGAAAAAGUACCAAAAGGUUGAC